GAUGAACGCUGGCGGCGUGCCUAAUACAUGCAAGUCGAGCGAACAGACGAGGAGCUUGCUCCUCUGACGUUAGCGGCGGACGGGUGAGUAACACGUGGAUAACCUACCUAUAAGACUGGGAUAACUUCGGGAAACCGGAGCUAAUACCGGAUAAUAUAUUGAACCGCAUGGUUCAAUAGUGAAAGACGGUUUUGCUGUCACUUAUAGAUGGAUCCGCGCCGCAUUAGCUAGUUGGUAAGGUAACGGCUUACCAAGGCAACGAUGCGUAGCCGACCUGAGAGGGUGAUCGGCCACACUGGAACUGAGACACGGUCCAGACUCCUACGGUAGGCAGCAGUAGGGAAUCUUCCGCAAUGGGCGAAAGCCUGACGGAGCAACGCCGCGUGAGUGAUGAAGGUCUUCGGAUCGUAAAACUCUGUUAUUAGGGAAGAACAAAUGUGUAAGUAACUAUGCACGUCUUGACGGUACCUAAUCAGAAAGCCACGGCUAACUACGU
rnacentral:rRNA from 1 species